rnacentral:rRNA from 1 species
AUUGAACGCUGGCGGCAUGCCUUACACAUGCAAGUCGAACGGUAACAGGUUAAGCUGACGAGUGGCGAACGGGUGAGUAAUGUAUCGGAACGUGCCCAGUCGUGGGGAAUAACUACUCGAAAGAGUGGCUACUACCGCAUACGACCUGAGGGUGAAAGCGGGGGACCGUAAGGCCUCGCGCGAUUGGAGCGGCCGAUGUCAGAUUAGGUAGUUGGUGGGGUAAAGGCUCACCAAGCCAAUGAUCUGUAGCUGGUAUGAGAGGACGACCAGCCACACUGGGACUGAGACACGGCCCAUACUCCUACGGGAGGCAGCAGUGGGGAAUUUUGGACAAUGGGCGCAAGCCUGAUCCAGCAAUGCCGCGUGCAGGAAGAAGGCCUUCGGGUUGUAAACUGCUUUUGUACGGAACGAAACGGUCCUGGUUAAUACCCGGGGCUAAUGACGGUACCGUAAGAAUAAGCACCGGCUAACUACGUGCCAGCCGCCGCCGUAACAC